rnacentral:rRNA from 1 species
AUUGAACGCUGGCGGCGUGCCUAACACAUGCAAGUCGAGCGGUAACAGGUGUAGCAAUACAUGCUGACGAGCGGCGAACGGGUGAGUAAUGCUUCGGAAUCUACCCAAUGGUGGGGAAUAACCAGCCGAAAGGUUGGCUAAUACCGCAUACGUCCCACGGGAGAAAGCAGGGGAUCGCAAGACCUUGCGCCAAUGGAUGAGCCGAAGUCGGAUUAGCUAGUUGGAGGGUAACGGCCUACCAAGGCGACGAUCCGUAGCUGGUCUGAGAGGACGACCAGCCACACUGGGACUGAGACACGGCCCAGACUCCUACGGGAGGCAGCAGUGGGGAAUAUUGGACAAUGGGGGAAACCCUGAUCCAGCGACGCCGCGUGUGUGAAGAAGGCCUGCGGGUUGUAAAAGCACUUUUAGUGGGGAUGAAAUGUUCAGGGUUAACACCUCUGGAUUUUGACCUAACCCACAAG